rnacentral:rRNA from 1 species
UACGUAGGCGGUUUAUUAAGUCAGAUGUGAAAGCCCCGGGCUUAACCUGGGAACUGCAUUUGAUACUGGUAAACUAGAGUAUGGUAGAGGGGGGUAGAAUUCCUAGUGUAGCGGUGAAAUGCGUAGAUAUUAGGAGGAAUACCAGUGGCGAAGGCGGCCCCCUGGACCAAUACUGACGCUGAGGUACGAAAGCGUGGGUAGCGAACA